GUCUACCUUUAUCAUUCGUUUCCAGCUGACGAUUACGCCUUCUCAUUCUAUUCUCUAACCUUAAACCUCUUAGAGCUUGGACACGCUGCUCAUUCUCCAAAGCUUGAGAGAAGUUCCAUAUCCUGACAAGACCUUCUUCACCAGUGCACACAAUUCGGUUAGAUCCAACAUCCACCGCAAACAAAUUGCUCCCAAAACCAUGUAGCAUUCUCUGUGGUGGUUCGACAUUGUCAACCAGAUUAACAGCUUUAGAAGAACUAUUCAGUGCGGAAUUCCGGUUUGUUCUCAACAGCUUUCUCACAUCAAUAAGUGAAAGUUUUCCAUCACUUGAAGCUGAAACAAGCCAAGGGAACUCAAAUGCAAGAGAGUAAACAGCACUCAAGUGAGGAAUCCAUGUUGCAACCCGUCUGACAUGGUACGUAACAUUUUCAAAGAUUUCAAACAUGUGAAUAGCUCCAUCUUCCCCACCAGUGAACAGAAGCUUCCCAGUGUGGCUUCGCG
rnacentral:misc_RNA from 1 species